GAGCAACGCUACUCCGAUACUGAACCGCUGAGCGCUUGCGCUCGGCUUAUAUAAAUCCGAUGGACACGUCCUUCGCGCUCCCUGUGUUCCAUUUCGCGCUAAAUGUUUCAAAAUUCUUUUCAAUUUCACAGAUUUUCGCCAUUUCAAGUGUCUCUUAGAAAUGCUCCCCUGUACUGUCUACCAAAGAACAAUAUACCUGCAUAUCAACGAUUUUAAGUAUUGGGCACAAUGAAUAAAUGUUCAACAUGAAAUGCUACAGAUGAAAUUAUUUUGACGAAAGACCAAGAGUUCAUUGUACCUAUUCUUGAGCAGACGACAAACUGUGCUCGUUUCCAGCCGCUCAUCUGAAAAGGGGUUUUAAGUAACAGAUAUAUAUAUAUAUAUAUAUUCUAUUGAUUUAUAUAAUUUUGCGUUUAUAUUACAUAAUUAUAGAUGCCCAGAUGUAUAUGUUACGUUCGUUAUAUUGCAGGAAGCAUCGGUGGUUCAGUGGUAGAAUGCUCGCCUGCCACGCGGGCGGCCCGGGUUCGAUUCCCGGCCGAUGCAAAUUGUGUUUCUUUUUUAUUUUAUCUUUUUCAUUUCCAUUUGCCUAUCAGACUACAAAUAGAUAAAGAAACGUAUAAUUGUGAUAAGUAAGGCGGUAUUGUACAAAGACUGUAUCUAUGUAUCAUGUGAAUCUGCUGUAAAUACGUUUCAACUAGUCACCUUCUAAUGUAUGUAUAUGCAAAACUUUGACACGCGAGAGUUAUAAAUACUACAUAAACAGGAUUAACGUAGAGGAUACCCGAGACUUUGUUCUAAAAAUGUAUUUUGCGUAUCGAUUGAAAUGCGAACGCACGACGGGUAUAAGAUGGUCGUUAAAGUCUCCAAGACUAGAUACAAUUUAGCUGGAUAUUCAAUUCCUUAUCGUCUACGAUAAGAUUGUUCCCUGAUAUCAAACGCUAGCUAAUAAAUAUUAAAUAAUUGCAAUAAAUUGUUGGAUGGAACAUCAACUUGCUGGUACAUAGAAGUGCAGCAGUAAAAAUUGUUGCUACCUGUGAAUAGACAUCGUGAUAAUUAGUUAUUAUCGGGUAAAUUGUUAAGUAGAUUAUUAGGUAUGUAAUAUACGGUUGUGAACAUAAACGUUUAUUGGAAUCUUUUAUGUUACAAUAUCAGAGUGACAAUAAAUUGUAUUUAGCACUUA